UAGGGAAUCUUCCGCAAUGGACGCAAGUCUGACGGAGCAACGCCGCGUGAGUGAAGAAGGAUUUCGGUUCGUAAAACUCUGUUGUUAGAGAAGAACAGCGCAUAGAGUAACUGUUAUGCGUGUGACGGUAUCUAACCAGAAAGCCACGGCUAACUACGUGCCAGCAGCCGCGGUAAUACGUAGGUGGCAAGCGUUGUCCGGAUUUAUUGGGCGUAAAGCGAGCGCAGGCGGUCAAUUAAGUCUGAUGUGAAAGCACCCGGCUCAACCGGGGAGGGUCAUUGGAAACUGGUUGACUUGAGUGCAGAAGAGGAGAGUGGAAUUCCGUGUGUAGCGGUGAAAUGCGUAGAUAUAUGGAGGAACACCAGUGGCGAAGGCGACUCUCUGGUCUGUAACUGACGCUGAGGUUCGAAAGCGUGGGUAGCAAACAGG
rnacentral:rRNA from 1 species